rnacentral:rRNA from 1 species
UACGUAGGGGGCUAGCGUUGUCCGGAAUCAUUGGGCGUAAAGAGCGUGUAGGCGGCCCGGUAAGUCCGCUGUGAAAGUCCAGGGCUCAACCCUGGGAUGCCGGUGGAUACUGUCGGGCUCGAGUCCGGAAGAGGAGUGUGGAAUUCCUGGUGUAGCGGUGAAAUGCGCAGAUAUCAGGAGGAACACCAAUGGCGAAGGCAGCUCUCUGGGACGGUACUGACGCUGAGACGCGAAAGCGUGGGGAGCGAACAGG